ACACGGGGGGCGCAAGCGUUAUUCGGAAUUAUUGGGCGUAAAGGGCGCGUAGGCGGUUUUGUCGGUCAGAUGUGAAAGCCCGGGGCUCAACCCCGGACGUGCAUUUGAAACAGCAAGACUCGAGUACGGGAGAGGAAAGCGGAAUUCCUGGUGUAGAGGUGAAAUUCGUAGAUAUCAGGAGGAACACCGAUGGCGAAGGCAGCUUUCUGGACCGAUACUGACGCUGAGGCGCGAAGGCGUGGGUAGCGAACAGGAUUAGAAACCCCGGUAGUCC
rnacentral:rRNA from 1 species